GCCCUUAUAUCUUAGUGGUUAGCACCCUCCGAGUCUCGAGGAGGAAGACGCGGGUUCGACUCCCGCCGAGGGCA